CGUGUCUUCCUGAUGAAAUAUUUUCGGAUGUAAAGAUUGUCUUUACUGAAUUGCGCAAAAAAACACCGUGUUGAUUUUUCCGUUGCCUUCCUUCUGAUCUAAGACAU
rnacentral:snoRNA from 1 species